UACGUAGGGUCCUAGCGUUGUCCGGAUUUAUUGGGCGUAAAGAGCUCGUAGGCGGUUCGGCAAGUCGGAUGUGAAAUCUCCACGCUUAACGUGGAGGGGCCAUUCGAAACUGCCGUGACUCGAGUCCGGUAGGGGAGUGUGGAAUUCCCGGUGUAGCGGUGAAAUGCGCAGAUAUCAGGAGGAACACCGGUGGCGAAGGCGGGUCUCUGGGCAGUAACUGACGCUGAGGAGCGAAAGCGUGGGGAGCGAACAGG
rnacentral:rRNA from 1 species